AGAGUUUGAUCCUGGCUCAGGAUGAACGCUGGCGGCGUGCCUAAUACAUGCAAGUCGAGCGAACGGACGAGAAGCUUGCUUCUCUGAUGUUAGCGGCGGACGGGUGAGUAACACGUGGAUAACCUACCUAUAAGACUGGGAUAACUUCGGGAAACCGGAGCUAAUACCGGAUAAUAUUUUGAACCGCAUGGUUCAAAAGUGAAAGACGGUCUUGCUGUCACUUAUAGAUGGAUCCGCGCUGCAUUAGCUAGUUGGUAAGGUAACGGCUUACCAAGGCAACGAUGCAUAGCCGACCUGAGAGGGUGAUCGGCCACACUGGAACUGAGACACGGUCCAGACUCCUACGGGAGGCAGCAGUAGGGAAUCUUCCGCAAUGGGCGAAAGCCUGACGGAGCAACGCCGCGUGAGUGAUGAAGGUCUUCGGAUCGUAAAACUCUGUUAUUAGGGAAGAACAUAUGUGUAAGUAACUGUGCACAUCUUGACGGUACCUAAUCAGAAAGCCACGGCUAACUACGUGCCAGCAGCCGCGGUAAUACGUAGGUGGCAAGCGUUAUCCGGAAUUAUUGGGCGUAAAGCGCGCGUAGGCGGUUUUUUAAGUCUGAUGUGAAAGCCCACGGCUCAACCGUGGAGGGUCAUUGGAAACUGGAAAACUUGAGUGCAGAAGAGGAAAGUGGAAUUCCAUGUGUAGCGGUGAAAUGCGCAGAGAUAUGGAGGAACACCAGUGGCGAAGGCGACUUUCUGGUCUGUAACUGACGCUGAUGUGCGAAAGCGUGGGGAUCAAACAGGAUUAGAUACCCUGGUAGUCCACGCCGUAAACGAUGAGUGCUAAGUGUUAGGGGGUUUCCGCCCCUUAGUGCUGCAGCUAACGCAUUAAGCACUCCGCCUGGGGAGUACGACCGCAAGGUUGAAACUCAUAGGAAUUGACGGGGACCCGCACAAGCGGUGGAGCAUGUGGUUUAAUUCGAAGCAACGCGAAGAACCUUACCAAAUCUUGACAUCCUUUGACAACUCUAGAGAUAGAGCCUUCCCCUUCGGGGGACAAAGUGACAGGUGGUGCAUGGUUGUCGUCAGCUCGUGUCGUGAGAUGUUGGGUUAAGUCCCGCAACGAGCGCAACCCUUAAGCUUAGUUGCCAUCAUUAAGUUGGGCACUCUAAGUUGACUGCCGGUGACAAACCGGAGGAAGGUGGGGAUGACGUCAAAUCAUCAUGCCCCUUAUGAUUUGGGCUACACACGUGCUACAAUGGACAAUACAAAGGGCAGCGAAACCGCGAGGUCAAGCAAAUCCCAUAAAGUUGUUCUCAGUUCGGAUUGUAGUCUGCAACUCGACUACAUGAAGCUGGAAUCGCUAGUAAUCGUAGAUCAGCAUGCUACGGUGAAUACGUUCCCGGGUCUUGUACACACCGCCCGUCACACCACGAGAGUUUGUAACACCCGAAGCCGGUGGAGUAACCUUUUAGGAGCUAGCCGUCGAAGGUGGGACAAAUGAUUGGGGUGAAGUCGUAACAAGGUAGCCGUAUCGGAAGGUGCGGCUGGAUCACCU
rnacentral:rRNA from 1 species